rnacentral:rRNA from 1 species
GCAAGCGUUGUCCGGAAUUACUGGGCGUAAAGGGUACGCAGGCGGAUAUAUAAGUCAAUGUGAAAGGCACCGGCUCAACCGGUGAGCGGCAUUUGAAACUGUAUAUCUUGAGUUCAGGAGAGGAGAGCGGAAUUCCUGGUGUAGCGGUGGAAUGCGUAGAUAUCAGGAAGAACACCAGUGGCGAAGGCGGCUCUCUGGCCUGAAACUGACGCUCAGGUACGAAAGCUGGGGGAGCGAACGGGAUUAGAUACCCCGGUAGUCCCAGCCGUAAACGAUGGACACUAGGUGUUGGGGGUUCGAAUCCUUCAGUGCCGAAGCAAACGCA